AUGGUUUGGUCCAUCCGCGUUCCCUUGAAGAUUCGCAUCUUCAUGUGGCAGUGGAUUCGCGGUAGGGUCCCGUCUGGGGUGGAGGUCUGCAAGCGCAAUGGCCCGUGUACUGGUAUUUGCCCGCUCUGUGGUGUUCCGAAAGACUCGAACCACAUCUUCUUCUCCUGCGUCUUCGCCCAGUUCCUCUGGAGCUGCUUUUGAGAGGUGCUCGGUGGAAGUUGGUGCCACACCAAUUUCUCGGACUUAUUUGCUGAACUCCAGCUGAACCCCGCGACCUCUCGCCACAUUAGGUGGCUUGAGGUUGGGGUUCUCGCCUGGACCCUCUGGACCGUUCGCAAUAAGCUUGUGAUUCAGCGUACUCCCCUUCGACGGGCUACUGACGCUCUCUUCAAAUUCUCGGGUUUCUUGCAGCUUUGGCGGCCGCUUAGCCGCCCCCGGACCGUGACGCCAUCUCAGCCUUCAUCGCCGACCUUCGUUCGAUGGCCGUCUGCCUGUCGCCGCCGCCUCCUCCGCCUCCGCCGGAUCCAGACUAGGCUCCCUGCGACCGGCGUGUGUUGUUUUCUUAUUUAUUUUUUUGGGCUUGUUGAGCUGUGCCCUCAGCAAAACCUGUGUACUUUGCCGUGA
rnacentral:rRNA from 1 species